rnacentral:rRNA from 1 species
UACGUAGGGUGCGAGCGUUGUCCGGAAUUAUUGGGCGUAAAGAGCUUGUAGGCGGUUUGUCGCGUCUGCUGUGAAAUUCCAGGGCUUAACCCUGGGCUUGCAGUGGGUACGGGCAGACUAGAGUGUGGUAGGGGAGACUGGAAUUCCUGGUGUAGCGGUGAAAUGCGCAGAUAUCAGGAGGAACACCGAUGGCGAAGACAGGUCUCUGGGCCACUACUGACGCUGAGAAGCGAAAGCAUGGGGAGCGAACAGG